AUACCCUAUUAUUUUCAAUGUAAAUUAAUAAAACUUGAGUAGUAACAGUUAUGAUCUUGAAACUUAAAGAAUUUGGCGGUAUUUUAGUCUAUUUAGAGGAAUCUGUUAUGUAAUCGAUAGUCCACGUUGAACCUUACUUAUUUAAUUUCUUGUAUACCGCUGUUUUAGUAUAUAUUUACAGAUUAUUUUCAUUGUAAUUAAUUUAUUAAGAUUUCAAGUCAAGGUGCAGUUUAUAUAUAAGUUGAAUAAUGGAUUACAAUAAAAUUUAUUUAUUAUGGAUAGUUUAUUUAAAUUAAAUUUGAAGGAGGAUCUAUAUGUAAAAUUAUGAAGAUUAAUAAUUUGAUUUAUAGCUCUAUAAUAUGUACACAUCGC
rnacentral:rRNA from 1 species